rnacentral:rRNA from 1 species
AUUGAACGCUGGCGGCAGGCCUAACACAUGCAAGUCGGGCGAGUGGCGGACGGGUGAGUAAUGUAUGGGGAUCUGCCUGAUGGCGGGGGAUAACUACUGGAAACGGUAGCUAAUACCGCAUACCAUCAGAUGUACCCAGAUGGGAUUAGCUAGUUGGUAGGGUAACGGCUCACCAAGGCGACGAUCCCUAGCUGGUCUGAGAGGAUGACCAGCCACACUGGGACUGAGACACGGCCCAGACUCCUACGGGAGGCAGCAGUGGGGAAUAUUGCACAAUGGGCGCAAGCCUGAUGCAGCCAUGCCGCGUGUGUGAAGAAGGCCUUCGGAUUGUAAAGUACUUUCAGUCGGGAGGCGUUACCGACAGAAUAAGCACCGGCUAACUUCGUGCCAGCAGCCGCGGUAAUAC